UCUUAAUGACUCUAAUAUUAAGUAAGAUCUGCUCAAUGAUUUUUAAAUUGCCGCAGUAUUCCUGUGCUAAGGUAGCAUAAUCAUUUGCCUUUUAAUUGAAGGCUAGAAUGAAAGAUUCAACAAUUAAAUUUCUAUCUUAAAACUUAAAGUAAAAUUUAUAUUAGAUAUAAAAAUAUAUCUAUUAUAUAAAAAGACGACAAGACCCUGUUGAACUUCACUUUUGUUUAGCUGGGGCAGCUAAGUAAAGACCAUUUUAUUUUAAUAUCAAAAAUGACCCAAUAUAAUUGACUACUUGACCAAGUUACCACAGGGAUAACAGCAUAAUUUUCUUUUUUAGCUCUAUUAAAAAGAAAGAUUAUGACCUCGAUGUUGAAUUAUUUACCUUACUUAUGUAAAUGUAAGUAGAGGGGGUCUGUUCGACCCUUAAAUUUUUACA
rnacentral:rRNA from 2 species